rnacentral:lncRNA from 1 species
UACUGGAAAACAAAUGUUAGGUUUCAGGGACUCCGGCUAUCAAGGCAGUAGCUAGAAAGGCCUCCCAGGCCUUCCUAGCAGCCAUAGAGUCCGGAUUAAAAGAAAAGAGCUGCUACCAUACCAGGAGGUGAGAUAGCUGAGCAAGAGCCCUCGGGGGACCACCCUCCAUUUCCCUUGGAGGGUGCUCAGUAAAGAGCUACUAAGAGCUAAAAAAGAGGUCUUCUA